GAUGAACGCUGGCGGCGUGCCUAAUACAUGCAAGUCGAGCGAACAGACGAGGAGCUUGCUCCUCUGACGUUAGCGGCGGACGGGUGAGUAACACGUGGAUAACCUACCUAUAAGACUGGGAUAACUUCGGGAAACCGGAGCUAAUACCGGAUAAUAUAUUGAACCGCAUGGUUCAAUAGUGAAAGACGGUUUUGCUGUCACUUAUAGAUGGAUCUGCGCCGCAUUAGAUAGUUGGUAAGGUAACGGCUUACCAAGGCGACCAUGCGUAGCCGACCUGAGAGGCGGAUAGGCCACAUUGGAACUGAGACGGGGUCCAGACUCCUGAGAGAGGCAGCAGUAGGGAAUGUGACGCAGUGGGCGAAAGCCUGACGGAACAAGGGGGAGUGAGUGAUGAAGAUCUUCGGAUCGGAAAACUCUGUUAUUAGGGAAGAACAAAUGUGUAAGUAACUAUGCCCGUCUUGACGGUACCUAAUCAGAAAGCAACGGCUAACUACGUG
rnacentral:rRNA from 1 species